AACGAACGCUGGCGGCAGGCCUAACACAUGCAAGUCGAGCGAGAUCUUCGGAUCUAGCGGCGGACGGGUGAGUAACGCGUGGGAAUAUGCCCUUCUCUACGGAAUAGCCUCGGGAAACUGGGAGUAAUACCGUAUACGCCCUUAGGGGGAAAGAUUUAUCGGAGAAGGAUUAGCCCGCGUUGGAUUAGGUAGUUGGUGGGGUAAUGGCCUACCAAGCCGACGAUCCAUAGCUGGUUUGAGAGGAUGAUCAGCCACACUGGGACUGAGACACGGCCCAGACUCCUACGGGAGGCAGCAGUGGGGAAUCUUAGACAAUGGGGGCAACCCUGAUCUAGCCAUGCCGCGUGAGUGAUAAAGGCCUUAGGGUUGUAAAGCUCUUUCAGCUGGGAAGAUAAUGACGGUACCAGCAGAAGAAGCCCCGGCUAACUCCGUGCCAGCAGCCGCCGUAACAC
rnacentral:rRNA from 1 species